rnacentral:siRNA from 1 species
UAAUUGAAUUGAGGGUUAGUAUA